ensembl:lncRNA
GUUCUAUUCUACAUUUGCAUUUAAAAAUUGUAAUGCUUUUAAUUAGACCCUAUGUUUAUGGUAGUUUCUCUUGUAGGCAUUACUAUUGUGAGACUGUUACCUUUCAGGGUCUGUUCUGGACUGCUUGUCUGUGGGGAAAAGCAAAAGCCUGCUGCUUCCAUUUACAAAUUGUUUGCUGGUCCAUUAUCUUCCGGGGAAAAUGUAUUUUUGAGUACUCCAGACAAUUGAAACUAGUGAGCCCACUGUCUGGAGAAAGCAUCUGUAACCGCAGCCAAAAGAGGAACAAGAUUUCCGACAUUGUUUCAAGACAUGUGUUUGAAGCAUGGGUUCCCAUCACUUUCGGAGUGAGUUGCAGACCAUUUUUCUUUAUAUAGAUUUAGACAAGACAAAGCAGUCCUGGAUUUGUCUUGCUAAUUGUCUUUGUGAUUUCUCCCCAG